GUUGAUAAGGUUAAGUGAAUAAGGGCGCACGGUGGAUGCCUUGGCACUAGGAGCCGAUGAAGGACGGGACUAACACCGAUAUGCUUUGGGGAGCUGUACGUAAGCUAUGAUCCAGAGAUUUCCGAAUGGGGGAACCCAACAUCUUUAAUAGGAUGUUACGAUUGUGUGAAUACAUAGCACAUUCGAGGUAGACGCAGAGAACUGAAACAUCUAAGUACCUGCAGGAAGAGAAAGAAAAUUCGAUUCCCUGAGUAGCGGCGAGCGAAACGGGAAAAGCCCAAACCAGCAAGCUUGCUUGUUGGGGUUGUAGGACUCCAAUAUGGUAGUUCUUUCAGAUAGUCGAAUGACUUGGAAAAGUCAGUCAAAGAGGGUAAAAACCCCGUAGACGAAAUGUGGAAGACACCUAGGAGGAUCCUGAGUACGGCGGAACACGAGAAAUUCCGUCGGAAUCCGGGAGGACCAUCUCCCAAGGCUAAAUACUCCCUAGUGACCGAUAGUGAACCAGUACCGUGAGGGAAAGGUGAAAAGCACCCCGGAAGGGGAGUGAAAUAGAACCUGAAACCGUGUGCCUACAACAAGUCAAAGCCCGUUAAUGGGUGAUGGCGUGCCUUUUGUAGAAUGAACCGGCGAGUUACGAUUGCAUGCGAGGUUAAGUUGAAGAGACGGAGCCGCAGCGAAAGCGAGUCUGAAUAGGGCGUUUGAGUAUGUAGUCGUAGACCCGAAACCAUGUGAUCUACCCAUGUCCAGGUUGAAGGUGCGGUAAAACGCACUGGAGGACCGAACCCACGUACGUUGAAAAGUGCGGGGAUGAGGUGUGGGUAGCGGAGAAAUUCCAAACGAACUUGGAGAUAGCUGGUUCUCUCCGAAAUAGCUUUAGGGCUAGCCUCGGAAUUGAGAAUGAUGGAGGUAGAGCACUGUUUGGACUAGGGGCCCAUCUCGGGUUACCGAAUUCAGAUAAACUCCGAAUGCCAUUCAUUCAUAUCCGGGAGUCAGACUGUGAGUGAUAAGAUCCAUAGUCGAAAGGGAAACAGCCCAGACCACCAGCUAAGGUCCCAAAAUAUAUGUUAAGUGGAAAAGGAUGUGGGGUUGCACAGACAACUAGGAUGUUGGCUUAGAAGCAGCCACCAUUUAAAGAGUGCGUAAUAGCUCACUAGUCGAGUGACCCUGCGCCGAAAAUGUACCGGGGCUAAACAUAUUACCGAAGCUGUGGAGUACACCUUUAGGUGUAUUGGUAGGAGAGCGUUCUAAGGGCGUUGAAGGCAGAUCGUGAGGACUGCUGGAGCGCUUAGAAGUGAGAAUGCCGGUAUGAGUAGCGAAAGACAGGUGAGAAUCCUGUCCACCGAAUGACUAAGGUUUCCUGGGGAAGGCUCGUCCGCCCAGGGUUAGUCGGGACCUAAGCCGAGGCCGACAGGCGUAGGCGAUGGAUAACAGGUUGAUAUUCCUGUACCCGUUGUUUUUGUUUGAGCAAUGGAGGGACGCAGGAGGCUAAGGAAUGCAGACGAUCGGAAAUGUCUGUCCAAGCAGUAAGUCUGAAGAGGAGUCAAAUGCUUCUUUUCUUAAGGACAAGCUGUGAUGGGGAGGGAAAUAAUAGUACCGAAGUUCCUGAUGUCACACUGCCGAGAAAAGCUUCUAGUGAGAAAACAGCGGCCCGUACCGCAAACCGACACAGGUAGUCGAGGAGAGAAUCCUAAGGUGAGCGAGAGAACUCUCGUUAAGGAACUCGGCAAAAUGACCCCGUAACUUCGGGAGAAGGGGUGCUGAUCAUACGAUCAGCCGCAGUGAAUAGGCCCAAGCGACUGUUUAUCAAAAACACAGGCCUCUGCAAAAUCGUAAGAUGAAGUAUAGGGGCUGACGCCUGCCCGGUGCUGGAAGGUUAAGAGGAGUGCUUAGCGCAAGCGAAGGUACGAAUUGAAGCCCCAGUAAACGGCGGCCGUAACUAUAACGGUCCUAAGGUAGCGAAAUUCCUUGUCGGGUAAGUUCCGACCCGCACGAAAGGCGUAACGAUUUGGGCACUGUCUCAACGAGAGACUCGGUGAAAUUUUAGUACCUGUGAAGAUGCAGGUUACCCGCGACAGGACGGAAAGACCCCAUGGAGCUUUACUGUAGUUUGAUAUUGAGUGUCUGUACCGCAUGUACAGGAUAGGUAGGAGCCGUAGAAAUCGGAACGCUAGU
rnacentral:rRNA from 1 species